GGCAGCUUUGUGCCAGCAGAGGAGGCCGAAAUUGGGGCAGUAGACGCCAUCUUCACACGAAUUCAUAGCUGCGAAUCCAUCUCCCUUGGCCUCUCCACCUUCAUGAUCGACCUCAACCAGGUGGCGAAAGCAGUGAACAAUGCCACUGCACAGUCGCUGGUCCUUAUUGAUGAAUUUGGAAAGGGAACCAACACGGUGGAUGGGCUCGCGCUUCUGGCCGCUGUGCUCCGACACUGGCUGGCACGUGGACCCACAUGCCCCCACAUCUUUGUGGCCACCAACUUUCUGAGCCUUGUUCAGCUACAACUGCUGCCACAAGGGCCCCUGGUGCAGUAUUUG
rnacentral:misc_RNA from 1 species